AGAUGUCCAGCCACAAUUCUCGG
rnacentral:miRNA from 13 species